UUGCUGUAGCUCACAGUGACUCAACACUGCAGAUAUGAUGCCUCUGUUCAUCUCAGUGCUGCUGGCUGCUAUGUGCCUUGAAUGCAGAGCACAAAAAGACAACGUGCUGCAGCCACCAGGAGAUGUGACUGUUACUGAAGGAGAGGCUGGAACUCUUGACUGUCGAUAUAACAGCAGUUCAAACAAUCUGAAUCUCUACUGGUACAAACAGGAUGGAGACCACAGCCCCAAAUUCAUCCUUCAACUUAUUAAACUGGGUGGUGGGAACACAGCAGACAAGUUCAAAGAGAGAUUUUCAGCUACUCUGAAUUCUGCCUUAAGAUCAGUUCCUCUGAAGAUCCAGAAGCUUCAGCUGUCUGACUCUGCUGUGUACUACUGUGCUCUGCAGCCCACAGUGACAGGAAACACCACAACUCUGUACAAAAAC